AGAAUCAACGCUGGCGGCGUGCCUAACACAUGCAAGUCGAACGCGAGAGUCCCGCAAGGGACAAUUGAGUGGCAAACGGGUGAGUAACACGUGGGUGACCUGCCUUCGAGUGGGGGAUAACGUCCCGAAAGGGACGCUAAUACCGCAUGACAUCCUGCCUUUGGACAGGCGGAGAUCAAAGCCGGGGAUCGCAAGACCUGGCGCUUGGAGAGGGGCCCGCGGUCUGAUUAGCUAGUUGGUGAGGUAACGGCUCACCAAGGCGACGAUCAGUA
rnacentral:rRNA from 1 species